rnacentral:piRNA from 1 species
UCACUUUCAAGAAUGUCACUUACACAUCAG